CACGUAGGGCGCAAGCGUUGUUCGGAAUUACUGGGCGUAAAGCGUGCGUAGACGGUUAUUUAAGUCAGGUGUGAAAGCCCCGGGCUCAACCUGGGAAUUGCAUUUGAGACUGAAUAGCUAGGGUGCGGAAGAGGGAAGCGGAAUUUCCGGUGUAGCGGUGAAAUGCGUAGAUAUCGGAAGGAACACCAGUGGCGAAAGCGGCUUCCUGGUCCAGCACCGACGUUCAGGCACGAAAGCGUGGGGAGCAAACAGG
rnacentral:rRNA from 1 species